rnacentral:tRNA from 1 species
GCCCUUGUGGCUCAGUGGUUGAGCACUGACCUAGGAACCGGGGGGGUCAGUGUUUCAUUCCUGGUCAAGGGCA